CCUACGGGAGGCAGCAGUGGGGAAUUUUGGACAAUGGGCGAAAGCCUGAUCCAGCCAUGCCGCGUGCGGGAAGAAGGCCUUCGGGUUGUAAACCGCUUUUGUCAGGGAAGAAACGGUCUGGGUUAAUACCCUGGGCUAAUGACGGUACCUGAAGAAUAAGCACCGGCUAACUACGUGCCAGCAGCCGCGGUAAUACGUAGGGUGCAAGCGUUAAUCGGAAUUACUGGGCGUAAAGCGUGCGCAGGCGGUCCUAUAAGACAGAUGUGAAAUCCCCGGGCUCAACCUGGGAACUGCAUUUGUGACUGUAGGGCUUGAGUACGGUAGAGGGGGAUGGAAUUCCGCGUGUAGCAGUGAAAUGCGUAGAUAUGCGGAGGAACACCGAUGGCGAAGGCAAUCCCCUGGACCUGUACUGACGCUCAUGCACGAAAGCGUGGGGAGCAAACAGGAUUAGAUACCCUGGUAGUCCACGCCCUAAACGAUGUCAACUGGUUGUUGGAAAGGUUCCUUUUCAGUAACGAAGCUAACGCGUGAAGUUGACCGCCGUCGGGAGGUACGGCCGGCCGAAGGUUAGGUAAACGUACUAAAUAGUAAGUUAGUUACGGUCGUUGAGACGUUGCCGACGGACGACGACGAGGGGAGGUUAGG
rnacentral:rRNA from 1 species